UCCUUGGUGGGGUGGCAUGAAAGGGGCAAAGGGGACACUCGCUGGUGGCAUGGGUACGCUGUGGAGUAGGAAAGUGGCACAGGCUAUUUCAGGAGGGAUUCUGGAAGUCACACCAACUUCAACACUGAGGUUCAACCCAGGACAAGAGUGCGACCCACGGGGUUGGGAAUUUAGCUCAGUGGUAGAGCGCUUGCCUACAAAGCGCAAGGCCCCAGGUUCGGUCCUCAGCUCCGGAAAAAAAAAUUGCGUGCGACCCAGGCUCUCAGGUUCUAACAGAUUUAAUAAUUGAUAAAGAGUGCCUACAGCUUCUCAUUUUCCCCCUGCCCUCUUCUUCCUGCGUUUCCACCACAAUCUUCAGGAGAUGUGACAGGAACGUAUUAAGAAACACAAAUUUUAGUCAGCGACUUUGGCCAUAACACACAGAAAGCAGAGGGCAAGAGAAGCUGACAGGUACAAGCCAUGGUAGUCUUUUGGGGUGGCUUUGGAGGCGGGUAUUUAGAGUCACUAGGAGUGGACAGAACAGUAAAGUGUGAUGUGUAAGGAUGAAAGGAGCUGAGGUUAGUGUGUGUAAAGCUGCUUAGGAAAGGAGCUGAGGUUAGUGUGUGUAAAGCUGCUUAGGAAAGGACAGGGUCGGGGGCGGGGAGGGGGGUGGGAGGAGGCGGACGCUAGCAUUCAGCAGGUACUAGGGCUUGGGACAGAGAGAGCAUAGCUGGUGCAAAGCCCCCCCCCCCCCCCCCCCGAGGCUGUAAGAAUGCUGCACCAAUAAGAAGGGCAGUGAGGCUGUGCUCUAGGAAAGGGGAGGGAUGCAAGAAUGCUGCACCAAUAGGAACAAGGGUAGGGAGACUUGCUCUAAAAAAGUGGUGGGAUAUAAGAAUGCUGCUCCAAUAGGAACAAGAGCAGUGAGGCUGCGCUCUAGGAAAGGGGCUAAACAAAAAAACAAACAACAAACAACAACCAAAACACAAAACAAAAACAAAAACAAAAAAACAAAAAACCAGGUAAGUCAGGAGAAGUCUAUAGGAUGCAGACAGUCUCAAGCCUUGUGGGCUGUGUGGAAGAAUCUUAGGUUGUAUGCUGAAAGCUUUAGGAAGCCUCUGCAGGACUUCACAUAGAGGAGGGAUGCGACUGAAUUUGGGCUUUAGAAAAAUCGCAUCGUCUUUUCACAUUAAGUAGGAGACUGAUAGGCUACUGUAAGUGUUCAAGUAACCAUUAACAGUGGUCCAGACAAGACUAGUGAAUGGAUAGCAAGAAAAGCAGACCCAACGAGCUGAAAGUAAACACUGCCCUUGGUUAUCUGGGGACUGGAGUGGGUUUCCUUUUGCCUUUCAUUGUUGCUGAACCCAAUUAACUACUCAAAUCGUGCAGGCAGCAGCAGCGAGCGUUCCUUGCUACCCACCCCAAAGCGUUCCUUGCUACCCACCCCAAUGUGUUCUGGGUUCGUAAAUGAAACACACACAGACACACACUCACUCACAUUCACGGGGGGGAGGGGGGGGGGAGAGAGAGUUGGGAGUCCCCAGUGGAUGAGGUGGUAUAAGGCCCAUUAAUCAAAGAGAGAUGAUUCAGUCUGCUGGCCCAGUUACCCAGUGUCAAAGCCAGAGCCAGUGUCAGAGCUGGGCCUGUGUGUCUGGCCUGUCUGUCCAGCCAUGCUGCCUGUAGCUGAUUAUGACCAAACUGAGUAGAAAUGAGUCAGCUAAAACAACGAACAGGGUGGCUCGAUCGGGUCCAGGCCUGUUGACUGCCCCAAUCCUGUCUAGUUCAGUUGAUCCUCCAGAGUCGAGUCCCAGAAGAGGUUUGUGGCUCACUAGCAGCCCUUUGUGAGCGUGGGUGGGGACAAGCCCUGCCUUUUGGAACAAAAAGAAGGGGGGAGGGGGGUGGAAAUGAAGCAAAUUCUCAUUUGCUUAUGUAAAGCUUGAAGUGUUAAUUAGCCUGGUUUUCAGCUUUCUUCUGAGAGCUUCCUCUGGGCUUUGUAAAGGAUGCAUCUGCUGGCUGCAGGGUGGUGGGGGAAGAGGUUGAGGAGGCUGUGUGGUAAUUAAGAAGAGUCUGAAGGUCUUCGAUGAGUAAGCUCUCUGGGGCUCCGGGACCCACCAUGUCUGCUGUGGGAGCAGAAUCAUAGAACUGAUUUUUGCCUGGGAAAGGAAGAUUGGGCUCCUCUGACAGGGCCUGAGGGAUACCUACCCAGCAGGCAAGCCGCUGGCUGGGAGAGGUUCUGAGCCUGGUAGCCAUGGUGUGUGGAGGAGUGGCUUGCCACCCCUUAGAUGUGUCUGGAGCUAUGGAUGGAGAUGCUGGGGGGAACAGCAUUUACAGACAGCCUCAGAGAGCCUAGCACAGACAAACAGUUGUUGCCCACCCCCACCCCACCCCUGUGUACCCAGGAGGUCCUUCCAAAAGUCUUAAAGCGUGUCUGCAGGCUGACAGGAGCAAGUCCAUCCAUCCUGAGCCCUGGGAGUGAGGAUGCUGCUAACUUGUCUUUGCUACAGAGUGUAAUGAUAUUUUAGAACAGCACUUCUCAACCUUCCUAAUGCUGCAACCCUUUAAUUCAGUUCCUCAUGUUGGGGUGACCCCCAGUCAUACAAAUCACUUCCUUGCUACUUCAUGACUGUGUAUUCGCUACUGCUAUGAAUCAUAAUGUAAUUAUCUGAUAUGCAUGGUAUCUGAUCUAUGAUUGCCAAAGGGGCCGUGACCCAUAGGUUGAGAACCACUGCUCUGGAAAGUACUGGUGUUAUGGCUGUGGUGCUGCUGUGGGAAGUGCUGGUGCGUGGAAAGACUGGUAUUACGGAGGAGCUGAUUGUUGGGGUAGAAAUCUCAGCUCACGUCCGGACAAACCACUCCAGGCCAACAUGGUUCCAUGUGGAAAGGUUUAAUGAGAGAAGAAGAGUAGAAGAGGAGAGGAGUAAAGGCUGGCCAUGAGCACGUGGAGGGAAGUGGGGAGGGGAAUGAGGAAAGGAGGGACAAAGGGGAAGAGGGCAAGAGCAAGAGGCAAGAAAGUGAGGAGGGGGCAAGCAGCUCCUUUUAUAGUGUCAAGCACAGCUGGCUGUUGCCAGGUAACUGUGGGGCGGAGCAUACCUGGCUAUUGCCAAAUAACUGUGGGGGUGGAGCUUAGACAGAAUGCUAACACUGAUGCUGUGGAAGGUUCAUGGUACAUGGAAGAACGAUGUCACAGAUAGAAGGCUGUGGUGUUCUGAGCAGCCCUAAUGCUAUUGGAGGAGCUGGUGACACAGAGGCGUCUGAUACACAUAGGGCACCAGAUCCAGGAGGAAUUUUGGUGCUAUGGAGGGUGCUGGUGGAACAAAAGCCCAAAGAGCCUUGCCAGAGGUCUGCCAACCUAGGUGCUCAAGGAUACUCUUCAUGCACAUCUAAGGGGCUGGAGAGAUGGCUCAGUGGUUAAGAGAACCACAUGGUGGCUCACAACCAUCUGUAAUGGGAUCCGAUGCCCUCUUCUGGAGUGUCUGAAGACAGCUCAGUGUACUCAUAUAAAAUAAAAUAAAUUUUAAAAAAAAUCUUAAAAAAGAAAAA